rnacentral:rRNA from 1 species
AUUGAACGCUGGCGGCAGGCCUAACACAUGCAAGUCGAACGGUAACAGGAAGCAGCUUGCUGCGUCGCUGACGAGUGGCGGACGGGUGAGUAAUGUCUGGGAAACUGCCUGAUGGAGGGGGAUAACUACUGGAAACGGUAGCUAAUACCGCAUAACGUCGCAAGACCAAAGAGGGGGACCUUAGGGCCUCUUGCCAUCGGAUGUGCCCAGAUGGGAUUAGCUAGUAGGUGGGGUAACGGCUCACCUAGGCGACGAUCCCUAGCUGGUCUGAGAGGAUGACCAGCCACACUGGAACUGAGACACGGUCCAGACUCCUACGGGAGGCAGCAGUGGGGAAUAUUGCACAAUGGGCGCAAGCCUGAUGCAGCCAUGCCGCGUGUAUGAAGAAGGCCUUCGGGUUGUAAAGUACUUUCAGCGGGGAGGAAGGGAGUAAAGUUAAUACCUUUGCUCAUUGACGUUACCCGCAGAGGAAGCACCGGCUAACUCCGUG